rnacentral:rRNA from 1 species
UACGAAGGGGGCUAGCGUUGCUCGGAAUCACUGGGCGUAAAGCGCACGUAGGCGGCUUGUUAAGUCAGGGGUGAAAUCCUGGAGCUCAACUCCAGAACUGCCUUCGAUACUGGAGAGCUUGAGUCCGGGAGAGGUGAGUGGAACUGCGAGUGUAGAGGUGAAAUUCGUAGAUAUUCGCAAGAACACCAGUGGCGAAGGCGGCUCACUGGACACGUAUUGACGCUGAGGUGCGAAAGCGUGGGGAGCAAACAGGG